CACACGGUCUGGAAGGCCCGGCUCUGGGCAGGCACCAUCACCAGCGUGGCUCCCAUUUUCAUCAGGUUGUUGUAGUCGACCUUCUUUGGCUCCGUCUCCUUGCCUUCCAUCUCCCUCUGGCUGUACUGGGGAGGGGUGAGGUGAGGGGUGGCUUCCGUGGACAAAGUCCGCUGGCUGCGGGAGGCACUGUUGGCUGUGGACCUGGUGGAGGAGGAACCUGAGCGGGAGCUCCUGGAGCCAGAGGAGGAGGAGCUGGGCUUGACCAGAUGGGCCUUGGGUGCCUCUGCAUCUUCUCUGCAACCAAACAGAUGGCAGGGGCUCAAACACCACUUCCUAGUUUCACCACUGUCAUAAGCAGUUGCUCCCUGAAGCUGUAAAUCACCAGGGAGUGUCUGUCCAGGAAUGAUUUCUGUUAUCUGCUUUCUGAAUUCUGUGCUCUGUGCCUUGGUGGAGUGAACCCCCUAUUGCCCUGCAGAGCUGCUGGUCAAACAGGUUUGGGAUAAACACACACACAGCUCUGUGUGUGGAACAAAUAACAAAUACCAAGUGUCACUGCAAACAGCUCAGAUAGAACUGUCUGCUCUGUAAUCCUGACUCAUAAUGAGAAAUGGCCUGGGCAAGACUAGCUGAAACCAGUUCUUCCACUUAAAAUAACCUGUGGGUAGAGAAAGAAGUGCAAGAACUGGGUCCUGAGAGAAAGAGAGAGAGGAUGUAACAGUCAGGCGUGAAAAGGUGAUACAAGAGGGUGAGGCUCCAACUGAAAAUUCAUGCAAGGUGAGAAAGCAAAGAAAGCAGGAAAAAGGGAAGGGAAGGAAUCAGCAGAGGCUGCUUUCAGGCUGGCAACCUGAGUGUGAGGCAGAGGAAUCAGCUGCUGAAGGGAUUACAGAGAUGUCAUAUGAGGGCAGUCAUACAAAUAGACACAGAGAUGGAUCAAGGCACGGGGGUUGUUUCUUCUAGGGCGGGAGCAGCUAAAACUCCUUCCUGGAAAUAGAUCUUUCCAGUGCUUUCCUUCCUGAGGGGUUUAGGCUGGGUUGGCUGGAGACCAAUCUCUGCUUAGGGGAGUUAAGGGGCAGGCCUGGAACAGAUGAGCUCCAAGAACAUGUGUCAGCAUUGCCGGGGUGAGGCUGCUCCCCUCACAGACAGCUCAAGGAUUGCUCACCCAGGCUAAAUCCAGAGCACAGUUGUUCAGAAGGCUCAAGGAGGACUGAGAGAACCUGCCAGUCUUGGAGCAUUCCCAAUAAAAACUGCGAUUGAGAAGGAGAGAGGAGAAGGAGAGAGAAGGAGAAGGAAGGAGGAGAAAGAAGGAGACAGAAAAGGAGGAAAAAGAAGGAGAAGGAGAAGGAGAAAGAAAGUAAGAGAAAGAAGGAGAAAGAAAGAAAGAGAAAGAAGGAGAAGGAGAAAGAAGGAGAAAGAAGGAGAAGGAGAAAGAAGGAGAAAGAAGGAGAAAGAAAGAAAGAAGGAGAAAGAAAGAAAGAGAAAGAAGGAGAAAGAAAGAGAAAGGAAGAGAAAAAGAAAGAAGGAGAAAGAGAAAGAAGGAGAAAGAGAAAGAAGGAGAAAGAGAAAGGAGAAGGAUGUAGAAGGAGAAAGAGAAAGGAGAAGGAGAAAGAAAGGAGAAGGAGAACUAAAACCCCCCAAACCCUCUCAGAGCCACAAUGGGCAACCUCACCACCAGGAGGAGGAGGGAGAGUCCCACCACCACCCCACACGCUGCCCCGGCGAUCAUGCCGAUAUUUUGGGCAUCUGUUGUCCGGAAAACAGAUGGAUUAGUUGAUAAAUUCUCACUGGAGUUGCGCGGUCAGGUUCCAGUCGCCACUAGAACUUAGAGCACCGGGUAUAAAUCAGAACAGAACGUGCCAGUUUGUUUAUUUAGGUGUGUCUCCACACAGAAGCUGAACCAGUUUAUCUCCAGGCACUGUCGCUGAAGCUGAGCUGAGAAAAGCUCUGGAAGGGUGGGAUCACAAGUGCUGUGCCUUCAGCUGUGGGUCAGAGUGAAACGAGGAGGAAAAACCCUCCCCUCUGAGCACAGAGCCACCGAAAGCACAGACAUGUGAGACACAGACAUGUGAAACACGGCACCGAGCGGGUUCCUGGAGGCACGAGAGUGUUGGAACUGUGAAUAUUUCCCCAUGAGGAUUCUUUUUUUCCCCCCUUCAACUUACCCUGCAGUGAUUACAACCCCUUUUCCAGAAGGAAUUAUUUAAUCGUGGGGGGAAAAGUGACCCGAGCUGGGUCAGAGAGAGGAAGAAAGAGGUAGAAAGAAAAGAGCAUCCUGUGCGUGGCAUUUUUCCUCCAAAACAGAAAAGAUGAGACGUUUCCCAGCCCUUGGUUGAUACUUUAUGACAACUUCUGGUCGGUUGGGCUGGGCUUGGCUAAAAGUUGUUUCCUUAAGGCUCGUCCCUACGGAGGGUUUAGCAAACCCGAGCGAGGUUUUAAACCAAUUCAGUUCAAUUGGCAUAAAAGCUGCCCGGACGCUUUUACUUCAGACGCCUGAGGCAAACCGGUUUUCCUUGCUGCGUGACCGUAUUCCAGUUAUUUCAGGCUUGGCCGGGCAGAAAAAGUUCCAAAAGCUGUGGAAUCUCCAAGAAGAGACCUCGCCAUUAGCAGUCUUUUAUCACAGCAGUUCCAGCUCCUGCUGAUCUCCUUUCAGAGCUGCUAAACUCUAUUGUUUGGAUUUUUGGGUGCUAAACUCCACCCUUUUCCUGGCAUGAAUAUGCAAAGGACGCUCCACCCUUGAUGGGUUUUAUCAGGCAGAACACAGAUUUUAACUUCUGGUGCUCCGGACAGAAUUUAUUAAAUUUGGAUUAAAACCAAAAUGUCAACAGUUGCUCCACGUUACUCUGUGUCACAAUCAGCCCUUCCAGCUGUCUUUAGAUAGUUCAGUGUCCUGAGAGCAACAGAUAAAUAAUUUGGAAUGUGAUGGAACAUCCACAGAAGGAGUUUAUACCUGAGAACAGUAUGCAGCCACUCCAGCCAGAAGUACCUCAAAAGCUGCAGGCUCUGGAACCUUUAACUCACAGUUUUCCCCCCUUUUAUGCCAUUAGUCAUUCUGAAAAUCAACAUUUCUAACAGACCGAAAAAUCUGAGCCCAAAUGAUGUUUUAGUCACUUUAGGUUGUGAUGUUUUCUGUCACUUUAGGUUGUGAUGUUUUUAUCACUCUAGGUUAUACAGAGGGCUGCUGUGCAAACCCUGACUGCAAUAAAUAAGUAUAAAUAAGAA